rnacentral:lncRNA from 10 species
CAGCUCUAAUCGUUCUUAGCUCCCAGUAAUAUGUUGAGAGGCCAUUGACCUUGAACUCAUUUCUCCUCUAAUAGAAGUAAUUCCUAGAAGACCUUUUCCACUUUUUGAAUCAUGCAAUGUGUCCCCAAAAUACUCAGUUCCUUCAGGACAAAACAUUAAAACAGACAUAUUCUAAAUGGUGGUUUCACAACAGAAAAACCGUUGGUUGUUUUUGACCUGUCUGUGUAACAGAUUUCUUAUUUGCAUUUUUCAUGACACUUUGAAUCCAAACCCCAGAUAUGUUUUGCUGUAUUCUCUUGAAUAGUGAAAUGUCUCUAUUAUUCAAAUGUAAAAGCAAGGUAGGGACUUCCCAAGACCUCAUAGUUAUCAUCUUUACACAUUCAUUCUUCUUGCUCACAUUUUCCCAAAGUGGAGUUCUGUCAUAAGAUGCCACUUUUUAAAUUUACUUAUUUCUUCUAAGAAGCUCAAAGCACUUACAGACAUCUCAUAAAUUUGUGCA